rnacentral:rRNA from 1 species
GACAGAGGGUGCAAACGUUGUUCGGAAUUACUGGGCGUAAAGCGCGUGUAGGCUGCUCGGAAAGUCGGGUGUGAAAGCCCUGGGCUCAACCUAGGAAGUGCACUCGAAACUUCCGAGCUGGAGUGCUGGAGAGGAAGGCGGAAUUCUCGGUGUAGCGGUGAAAUGCGUAGAUAUCGAGAGGAACACCUGAGGUGAAGACGGGUUGCUGGGCCGACACUGACGCUGACAGCGCGAAAGCCAGGGGAGCAAACGGG